UACGUAGGGUGCAAGCGUUGUCCGGAAUUAUUGGGCGUAAAGAGCUCGUAGGCGGUCUGUCGCGUCUGCUGUGAAAACUCAGGGCUUAACCCUGAGCUUGCAGUGGGUACGGGCAGACUAGAGUGCGGUAGGGGAGACUGGAAUUCCUGGUGUAGCGGUGAAAUGCGUAGAUAUCUGGAGGAACACCGGUGGCGAAGGCGACAUCCUGGACCGGUAUUGACGCUGAGGCGCGAAAGCCAGGGGAGCAAACGGGG
rnacentral:rRNA from 1 species